UACGGAGGGUGCAAGCGUUAAUCGGAAUUACUGGGCGUAAAGAGUGCGUAGGCGGUGAUGCAAGUUAGAUGUGAAAUCCAUGGGCUUAACCUGUGAACUGCGUUUAAAACUGCAUAACUAGAGUGUUGUAGAGGGUGGCGGAAUUUCCAGUGUAGCGGUGAAAUGCGUAGAUAUUGGAAGGAACACCAGUGGCGAAGGCGGCCACCUGGACAAACACUGACGCUGAGGCACGAAAGCGUGGGGAGCAAACAGG
rnacentral:rRNA from 1 species